UCUUAAUAAAUGCUUAUUGAUUGAGGACAUCACACUUCCUUAUCUGUUAUAACUCCUGGGCAAAGGAGAUUCUCCCCGUGGCAAGAUUACUUUUUUCAGCCCAGAGCCCCAACACCCAUUUUGGUGGGUGUGGGUUCAUAUCUGAUUGGCUACACCUUUGAGGAAAAUCCAGUAAUCUCUGUCUUGCAGCCCAGAUUUGCUCAAUGAGUUCCGUGCAGUUAUUACAUAACAAUCGCAUGCAGGAGAAUAUAGAUCCAGGUACUGUGAGGCGGCUGUGACUCUCCUUUCCUGCAGCUAUCACUGGUUCCUGAGGCUGCUCAGGGCAGACAGCAGAGAGAAUGAAGACUGUGCUGCCAAGUGUUCUCCUGGGGAUGUUCGCUAUGUUAAAGGCACAAGCAAAGAUCUCUAAAGAGCUAUUUGACAUAGGAAAGAUCACAUGGAUGUGUUAAGGAAGAUAUUUUGGGUAGCCACGUGGACAUGCCAGGGAAAUUUGCAUUUUCUAGGUCUAGGGAAGCAUACGUGGUAGAGACAGACUAUAAGACUUAUGCCAUAGUGAAUGUUUCCAUGUUAAAGAACGGGAUGACACUUAGUGCCUUGAAGUUUUUCAGUCGAACCCUGGAGAACACUGAUAAAGGUUUGAAGAGAUUAAGAGAAAUUAGUGAACAAAUUGGGAUCUCCAGGGAUAAUGUAUUCAUGUUGAUCUAUGAUGAUACAUGUGUGAAGAUGUUGAAGAAGGAUAAUUUGUAGAAGAGCAUAUUUUGGUUACCAGUGGAGAAAGUUACCUGCCCUGCCUCCAAGGAUUCACAGACUUGAUGGUCCUUUUUCUCCUUCUCCAUCCUUCCAUCCUUCUAUCCUCUCUUUCCAUAUCCCCAACCUCUCUCAUAGGGUUAGUCUCAGUAUUGAAUAAAUUUAUAUUCCAAACUGCUCUCUUAUGUGCU
rnacentral:lncRNA from 1 species